UUCGGUGGUUUUGCCGGAGGGGUCAUACCCGUUCCCAUUCCGAACACGGAAGUUAAGUCCUCCAUGGCCGAUGAUACUUGGGGCGAGAGCCCCUGGGAAAGUAGGUAGCCGCCGGAU
rnacentral:rRNA from 1 species